CGCUGUUAUUGAUAGUCCUACUGAGAGUGUAACUGUUUGAACCUCUGGCCGGCGCCCCGCACCGUGAGGAUCGUGGCACGAAUAUUGUGGACAAGAAGAGAUGCUUUGGACCUGCGCAUUGCCCUCAUAAAAAAGAGGGCUCAAACAUAUACUAAAAGUUGUCAACGACAAGCUUUGACAUCAGCCUGAUGGUACUUCAAUGGUCAGCUCUUUCUACAGUAAACCAGGUAUAGGUGCAUUCACACCAUGUUGUAUUGACCAUUAUUAUGAGAUUCCAGCUUGUAAAAAAGUACUCUCGUAGAACUCGUAAUUGCAACCUGUAAACUGAGAACUUUCUGAGAGCUCCUACUUUUACCACAUGACCUUGUAUGACAUAGGGUAUGACAUGACAGGGUGUACUGCUGAUGAUUAAUUUAGAUAAUUUAGAUGAUGAUAAAUUUCCCAGUCAAAGAACAUGAAUUUUGUCAUCUAGGAAUUACAGUAAUACGACUUGGCAUGAAUGCAGCAUAUGACUUUGAGUAGGCUAU